GCCAGGUUAAAAGGUUCCUGACAUCAGCAUCAUCCUAAUAUCUUCUAUGUUCAUAGAUUUCACACAGGCAGUUUUCCUGUUCACAACUUCUAAAGUAUGAAGUAUUUAGCCUUAUAGAGUACAAUCUUGCUGUUCCUGAUCAGGAAGGAUAGCCUUUUCUGGUGUCACACCAGAUGCUCCAAAAGCUAGAACUCUAACAAUGAAGCCACCCACAAAAUCCUCUGGGAAAAAAGAAACAUGGAUUUGAAUACACACAUAUGGAGUUCACCACCCCUCAGCUUGACCACUCCACUGCAAAAGCAUUCCAGGUACUAAGGGGCAUGAAGACACCUCCGAGGCCUGUACCAGGAUAAAAAGGUGGGAACCGAGGUUGAGAGAUUAAGUGACUUUCCCAGAUUCACAGGAAAUCUGGCAGACUGAGGAAUCAGAACCCAGAUAUCUUCAGUCAGAGCCCAUGACCUUAAACAGAAGACUUUCUGUCAUCAAAAACCAAAUGACUAAAUAUUUGUUCACAUCACACAGAUGGCACAAGCAAAUUCUUUCAGCCUUUGCAACUCUGAACUACAUCAAGAUGUUAACUGUGGUGAUUUGAAGAAAUACAAAGAGAAACCAGAAGAGCUUAUCCCUACAGAUGAAUUAACACAGCCCUUUAAGGGGCAAGAACCUUUAAUACUAGCACAACCACUGCUGCAAAUGGUUUGUACAAUACCUCCAUUAGUGCCCACAUAUGCAGGGUAUUUUAACUCAUCUGUGCUACGGGUUUUAAUUUGGCUUCUCUUGUUCAGGAGCAAAAUCAUUAUCCAAGACACAAAAAUAGAAUUACCCUACAACUAAGAAGCAGCCAGUCUCCCUUUUUACUACCAGUUUGCAUAUCAGUCCCUAUUUUCAAAGGAAGCAAAAAUAGAUCCACAGUCAAUUUUUUUCACUAAAAAUGCAUAUUAAGUUUUAGCAUGCGGCUUUAAUGCACAAAGCACUCAGCAUGCAAAGCAGCCAAAUAUGUGGAUUGAAGAAUCCCUAAGUACUUAUCUGCAAGACUAAUACUAAUGGCUUCCAAGCUCUUUGUGAAAAGUCUCUUAAUAUUUAUUUAUAUCGUCAUCUGCAUUUCAAAAUGCCUCAAUAUUAUGAUGUUAAUACAUUUUAUAAAGUGCACUGACUGUAUAGGAUUGAGACCAGGAAUCAUUAUGACCUAUAUUGAGUGUUAAACAGGAAAUAAAUGUUUGUCAGACGUAUAAAGAAUUAAGAAGGAGAAAUCCAUACAACUACAGAAAAGAUACUGAAAUUACUCAGAAAUCUCUUGUUCACUCAUCCAGCUGAAAUGUGAAGUAACCUGUGUCCACUUUAGUAGUGGACAGAACACUGGACUGGGACUCAGGGCACUUGAGAUGUAUUCCCAGGCCUGCUGCAUGACCUUGAUCUCUCUGUGUCUCAAUUUCCUCAUCAAUAAAAUAGGGAUAAGGACACUGACCUCUUUUGGAAUAAAAUAAAGGAAAAUAAUACUUUCCUGUCAUGGAUUUAAUUCUAUGCCCCCUGAAGUCAACAGCUAAACUCAGUGAUUUCAAUGGUGUGGAGUCAGCCCCCAUAUUAAUGCUACACAAUACUUACCUAUCUAUAGUGAGGCUUUGUUCCCUGCUUGGAAAAACAAAACAAUCUGGCAUCCUUGCAAAGCAGCAGGAAGUACUUUUUACUGAUGAGACUAACACUAUUCCCAGAAUCAUAUAUUAUGUAUUAUUUUAUAGUUUGCAUGAUAUUAAAGUUGCAUGCUUCGUCUUCAGAAGUUAUGAUUAAGGUUAUUAUAAUAGCGGGUAUUAGAAUUCAGUUUUGAUUAGUAGCAGUAACCUUUUAAAUCUAGUGUAAUAAAUUUCUCCUUAUGAAGGAGAAUUAAAAAUCCCCAUUUUUCAUAGACACCAUGCAAUAUACAAGUAGUUUUCAAUGUUCUUAAUAAAAUAUUUAGAGGCAAAUGCUGUUAAUGAUUACUAGAUUCUGUGCUUAGCAAGUUGCUAAGCUCCUAUACGUUUCAAAUAAAGGGGAAAAAAAUGUUGGAUUAUUUUUCUUGACUUGAUCAUCCCAUGGUUCAGAUCUGUUGUGCAGUCCCUGCUGAUAGAA